UUAAUCAUUCUGAGUGUGGCGAAGUAGUUGUGUGCCUCGAAAAAAAGGGGUGAGAUACUACAGCACCACAAUUUAUUUGAUUUUUUUUUUUUUAAAGAUUUGUCUCCACUUCAUCAACUGGUGAUGAUAAUUGGAAUCCACAAGGGACAGCAGGCUUGAAUGAAUGUGUAAUGGUCAGUCACUGCUGUUCACUCGGACACUUAGUGAUUAGGGCUAAUGAGCAGGAGAGAACAAUGAACCCUGGCAGAUAAUUUGAAGGGUGCACCCAUGAAUACACAGAGAACCUGUAAAUUGUAAAUUUUGGAAUUACAAAAAUAAUUUAAUACAUAUAUUCCACAGGAUUUUGUGACCUUAACCGCUAUGCAUUCAUUCAUCUGCUGCGACUUGAGUGUCCAUGCUGUCAUUGGGGAGUUUCUGGGUCAGUCAUUCUAGACAAGUUACAAGGGGCCCGGUUGAUUCAUUUUCCAAAGCCUAAAACACAGGUGACGAAAUGUCUACAAUGGAUGAAGGCUUGAGGAAGACCACACGUACAACUAAAUGUGGACAAUAUAAACAAACACAAGGCUGUAUGUUCGAAGCUCCAAAAACCUCCUGAAAUGGAGGAUUCGAAUAUGAUGCCAGUCCUGUAAUUCCUCUGCAAGACCAUCAAAUGAAACAGGUGGUUCACCGUCACCAUGAAGAACCCCAAGACAUUCAAAACCAAGACAUCUACCAUCAACCUCGAGCCAUUCACCACACAUGAGCUUCUACCCUUCCUACAAAGAGAGUUGGCCCAUGUAGGAAGCAAGGUUCCAAAAAAAGGGCUGAUGCUGCUUACUGAGAUAAGGGACACCAGCAGGCAUCAAGACCAUAGGGCAGCACAAGAAGAGAACAUCGACAUUUUACAGAUAAAAUAUCUGGCCGACUUCAUUGUCCUUGAACAGAUGGUGAAGGAAGACUCUUCUGCUUCUGCAGAACUGCUAUGAUUAAGUAUGGAAAAAGUUGUUGAGUUUAAUUUUAACAACAAACUAAUUCCAAAUUUUGUCAUCCUCUUUUUGAUUUGACAAUUUCUUUAGAAAAGUUC